ACCCAAUGGUGGCUCUAUGAGAGGUGUCCCUAUAAAGAGGAGCAUGUAAGGACACAGCCACAGAGAGAGGGGUCACUACAAGAAGCAUAGGAGAAGAUAGAACCUGAAGCCAAAGGGAGGUCUGUAGAAGAAAACAAGCCUGCCUACACCUUCAUCUUCUAGCUUCUGGAACUGUGAGGAAGUGAGCGUCUUCUUAAGCUGGCCAGGCACACCACUCUACUUCUCUCUCAGACCCCUUUUGUGAGCAACAGACUUCCAGGCUCAGGAAAAACUUCCCAGGGCAGGCUGGCUUCGGGGCUACCUUGAGAUAAGUGAUGUUUGCAUGAGUACCUGUGGAGUAUCAGCAAAGCUAGAGAAUGGAGCCGUCUCCUAAGAGGAAGCAGACUCAGGGAAACCCAGCGAUACACAGCGGUAGAAGGCAAGACUCCCAGCUACAGCUGAGACGUGCAGCUCUGAAGCUCAACAAAACCGACACAACGGCUUGUGAAUUCCAGGAGUUUACCAAGUGCAUGAAACCCAUUACAGAAUGCUUUUAAGGGGUUGGAGAUGGCUCAGCGAUUAAGAGCACUGUCUGCUCUUCCAGAGGACCUGGGUUCAAUUCCCAAGACCCACAUGACAGUUCAAAGCUGUCUGUAACUCCUGUUCCUGGGGGUAUGCCACCCCCAUACAGGAACACAAGCAGUCAAAACCCAAUGUAGAUAAAAAAUAAUUUAAAAA